GGGGGAUUAGCUCAGUUGGUAGAGCACCGGCCUUGCAUGCCGGGGGUCAGGGGUUCGAGUCCCCUAUCCUCCA
rnacentral:tRNA from 2 species